GCGGACCCUUAAGUAGAAAGUGAAAGGUAGGAGCUCAACUCCUACAUUGCUUUCUAUACUGGAGGUCUUGAGUGUCGGAGAGGAAGAUGGAACUGCACGUGUAGCGGUGAAAUGCGUUGAGAUGUGCAGGAACACCAAUGGCGAAGGCAAUCUUCUGGACGAAAACUGACGCUGAGACACGAAAGCCAAGGUAGCAAACAGGAUUAGAUACCCUGGUAGUCUUGGCCCUAAACUAUGUUCACUAGGUGUCGGGGGUUUCCCUCGGUGCCGCAGCUAACGCAUUAAGUGAACCGCCUGGGGACUACGGCCGCAAGGUUGAAACUCAAAGGAAUUGGCGGGGGCCCGCACAAGCGGUGGAGCAUGUGGCUUAAUUCGAUGCAACGCGAAGAACCUUACCAGGGCUUGACAUGCUACUGCAAGCUGCCGAAAAGCAGUCGCCUUCGAGGGUGUAGCACAGGUGGUGCAUGGCUGUCGUCAGCUCGUGUUGUGAAAUGUUGGGUUAAGUCCCGCAACGAGCGCAACCCUCAUGUUUUGUUACCAGCGGGUCAUGCCGGGAACUCGAAACAAACUGCCUCUGUAAGGAGGAGGAAGGUGGGGAUGACGUCAAGUCAUCAUGCCCCUUACGCCCUGGGCUGCACACAUGCUACAAUGGCCGGUACAAUGGGGUGCGAAACCGCGAGGUGGAGCCAAUCUCAAAAAGCCGGUCUCAGUUCGGAUUGGAGUCUGCAACUCGACUCCAUGAAGUUGGAAUCGCU
rnacentral:rRNA from 1 species